UUUAUCGGAGAGUUUGAUCCUGGCUCAGGACGAACGCUGGCGGCGUGCCUAAUACAUGCAAGUCGAGCGGACCGACGGGAGCU
rnacentral:rRNA from 1 species